ensembl:snRNA U5 U5 spliceosomal RNA
CACUCAUGUUUCUCUUCAGAUCGUAUAAAUCUUUCGCCUUUUACUAAAGAUUUCCGUGGAGAGGAACAACAUGAGUUUCUUCUAAUUUUUUGAUGCCCCGCUUAUGGUGGGGCC